rnacentral:hammerhead_ribozyme from 1 species
NNACUGCUGAGGAGUCCCAUACUAGGACGAAACGGCCGUCCAGUGC